rnacentral:rRNA from 1 species
AGAGUUUGAUCUGGCUCAGGAUGAACGCUAGCGGCAGGCUUAACACAUGCAAGUCGAGGGGUAUAGGUUUUCGGACCUAGAGACCGGCGCACGGGUGCGUAACGCGUAUGCAAUCCACCUUUUACAGAGGGAUAGCCCAGAGAAAUUUGGAUUAAUACCUCAUAGUAUUAUUGAAUGGCAUCAUUUAAUAAUUAAAGUCACAACGGUAAAAGAUGAGCAUGCGUCCCAUUAGCUUGUUGGUAAGGUAACGGCUUACCAAGGCAACGAUGGGUAGGGGUCCUGAGAGGGAGAUCCCCCACACUGGUACUGAGACACGGACCAGACUCCUACGGGAGGCAGCAGUGAGGAAUAUUGGUCAAUGGGCGCAAGCCUGAACCAGCCAUGCCGCGUGCAGGAUGACGGUCCUAUGGAUUGUAAACUGCUUUUGUACAGGAAGAAACAGUUCUACGUGUAGAACCUUGACGGUACUGUAAGAAUAAGGAUCGGCUAACUCCGUGCCAGCAGCCGCGGUA